rnacentral:rRNA from 1 species
UACGUAGGGGGCAAGCGUUGUCCGGAUUUAUUGGGCGUAAAGAGCGUGUAGGCGGUUUUACAGGUCCGCUGUGAAAACUCGAGGCUCAACCUCGAGCUGUCGGUGGAAACCGUAAGGCUAGAGUCCGGAAGAGGAGAUUGGAAUUCCUGGUGUAGCGGUGGAAUGCGCAGAUAUCAGGAGGGAACACCGAGUGGCGAAGGCA